GUAGUUUGACUCCGUGGCUACGAGGACGACGCUGGCGGCGUGCUUAACACAUGCAAGUCGAACGGAAAGGCCCUUCGGGGUACUCGAGUGGCGAACGGGUGAGUAACACGUGGGUGAUCUGCCCUGCACUUUGGGAUAAGCCUGGGAAACUGGGUCUAAUACCGAAUAGGACCACGCGCUUCAUGGUGUGUGGUGGAAAGCGUUUUGCGGUGUGGGAUGGGCCCGCGGCCUAUCAGCUUGUUGGUGGGGUAAUGGCCUACCAAGGCGACGACGGGUAGCCGGCCUGAGAGGGUGACCGGCCACACUGGGACUGAGAUACGGCCCAGACUCCUACGGGAGGCAGCAGUGGGGAAUAUUGCACAAUGGGCGCAAGCCUGAUGCAGCGACGCCGCGUGGGGGAUGACGGCCUUCGGGUUGUAAACCUCUUUCAAUAGGGACGAAGCGCAAGUGACGGUACCUAUAGAAGAAGCACCGGCCAACUACGUG
rnacentral:rRNA from 1 species